CUGGGCGUAAGGGUGCGCAGGCGGACAUUUAAGUGAGAUGUGAAAUACCCGGGCUUAACCCGGGCAGUGCAUUUCAAACUGGGUGUCUGGAGUGCAGGAGAGGAGAACGGAAUUCCUAGUGUAGCGGUGAAAUGCGUAGAGAUUAGGAAGAACACCAGUGGCGAAGGCGGUUCUCUGGACUGUAACUGACGCUGAGGCACGAAAGCGUGGGUAGCAAACAGGAUUAGAUACCCUGGUAGUCCACGCCGUAAACGAUGAGUACUAGGUGUAGGAGGUAUCGACCCCUUCUGUGCCGCAGUAAACACAAUAAGUACUCCGCCUGGGAAGUACGAUCGCAAGAUUAAAACUCAAAGGAAUUGACGGGGGCCCGCACAAGCAGCGGAGCAUGUGGUUUAAUUCGAAGCAACGCGAAGAACCUUACCUGGACUUGACAUCCCCUGCAUAUCUCAGAGAUGAGAGAAGCCCUUCGGGGCAGGGAGACAGGUGGUGCAUGGUUGUCGUCAGCUCGUGUCGUGAGAUGUUAGGUUAAGUCCUGCAACGAGCGCAACCCCUGUUGUUAGUUGCUAACAGUAAGAUGAGCACUCUAACGAGACUGCCGCGGUUAACGCGGAGGAAGGCGGGGAUGACGUC
rnacentral:rRNA from 1 species